CACUAUGUAAUUUGCUACAAAUAAUACCAAUAGAGAAACAAUUUCUCUUUAUGUGAGUUUGAUCUCUAUGCAUCAUCCCAUGUGAACACCAUCUUUAAAACAAUUAAGAAAAAUAUAUACUACUAAAUUAUACAUCAUGCUGGGAUUUUGUUGUGAGUGCAUUAUUUGUGACAAUAUAAAAAUAACAUUAAAAAUAUAUAUGUUAAAGUCCAAAGUGGAAUUUAAAAGGAAAAUUCAAGAAUCUAGAGAAAAGAAAAGAAAAAUAAAAAAAAGAAGAAAGAGAGCUAACGCUGGGUUCAGAUUGUGCAUUUGGCCCACUAACUCCAUCCCUCACGCGGCCCAUCUGAGGGGAUCGGCGCCGACAGUGGGGCCCCACUGGUCAUCCACUGGCAACCGUGCACCAGGCGCAUACUCGUUUUCCUCCUCGCUGACGGCUGGGGCCCUCGCGUCAUCACCUAACUCCCGCGAUCUCCGGUGCCUCGCCGGGUGGAUCGGAUCGGUGCGCGCUCCAGCCCUGGUCGUUGCUCCCUACCGAAGUCCUCGCGUCCCUCGGUGUAUAAAGCUAGAGCCCCGUUUCUUCUCCUUCCCGCACCUAUCCUCCCUACGCGGACCCGAGCAAAGAAGCACCUCACCAUCGCCGCACACCAUUAGCUGGGGUGGAGAAGGUUCGCCGUCGCCGCUUGAUUCGCACGGACGCUGCGCGAUUGGUUCUGCACCUGGGCGGGGAACUUCGCCGCGCCUCCACGGUGUUGUCGGUUACCUUCGCAGAGGGAGAUAACCACUUGGUGGCCGACGAUUCUUCACCGUACUCGCUGCUCCGCCGUGGACCCGCCAUCCUCCGUGGCCAGCGUCUCCUGCAACUCCCAAUCCCUGGUAAGACCUCCGAUCGGAUUCAGUGUCGUCCCAGUGUCGUGUAGAGUCGUUCGGAGGAGGGCCUUAGGCUUUCGCGCGCUUGACUGGUGCCACGGUAAUGUCGCCGCCGUCGGGGUUCCGUUCGCCGCCGGCGUUAACUCUGUUUUGGGCGCGGGAUAGACCAGAGGCAGUGGUAACCGUCGAUCGAAUCAGGGACGGCUCUGAUUAGAAAUCGCGUACCGGUUCGUUCUAAUUGCACGGCGACCGUCCGAUCGGGAUCAGGUGGUGAUUACUCGCACUAGGACUCGUUAAAUCAGGGCCGCCGAUGGGGGGAUCCAACGUCUGGGAUCGCAUACCGCCCUGCGGGCAGUCAAUUCUAAUCUGGACCGUCGGUUUGUAAUCGGACGACUGUGAGAACCCCGUACCCCUUCGGCCUUGGCGUUUUACUUAUGAGCCCUCGGGCUUCCAGGGUAUCAACCCGCCGUCCAGAGCAACAGUGCUCUGAGUCUCAGGAUUAGUUGUAGAAUAGCCCCUGGGUUUAUCUGGAUUUGAGGCCCAGUCCAGUGCCAUGAUAAACUGAAUAAAUAAAUUGGAAAAUAGGUUUUUAAUAUAAAAAUAAUUACUAGAACUUUAUAAAUUCAUAGAAAAUUCAUACUAACUCCUUUUUACUCCAUUCCAGUUCCUAAAAUUUUAUAAUUUUAUUCUCUAUCACUUAGAGCCUCUGUUUUGUCAUGAAAACAGUAAUAAAUUUAAUUCCUUACUUAGUCCCAUUCUAAACACAUAAAACAUUUGAAAAUGCAUAACUUAAAAUAUAUAAGUCCAAAAAUUAUGAUUUCUGUUCCUAGAAUUUUAUUUUAAUGUGUAGAUUAUUACUGUGUAUUUUGCAUAUAUGUUUGGUGUAAUGUUAAUUUUGCCUAUACAAUGUUUGUCUGUAUUGCUACGACUAGCAGUGAGGUCACGAGAAUCUGAAGAUCAUCCUGGUACCUGGAAUCUCAAGACCCAGGCAAGUUGUGCCCUUGAUCACUUCUUUUUACCUACUCAUGUUCUGAUUAAUCAUAAUGAUCUGCAUAGGUUAAUUUUGAUGGGACCCAAUAGGUUACCCUAGUUUGUCUAUCUUUAUACCUUGUUUACCACUGAACUUUUUGGGUAGUACUUGCUAGUGCUUUAUGUGGUUUUGGGUAUGAAGAUACAUUACUCAUGAUCACACUUUUAUUAUCUGUUUAUUAUCACUGUUCAUGAUAAGAUCAUUAUGUUAAUUGGAACAUGGAGAACCACCCGGGAAAACAGUGCUACCACAAGGGUUUAAUGGGACGCCCUUGGCCGAUUAAUUAGGAAAGCUAGUGGAAGACUACCUUACCCGAAAGGGGCAAGGGCAGUAGGGGAGUGGUCAGUGUAGGGAGGCCCUCGGGAGGAUUUUGCUGUGAUGGCGGUCCUGCAAGGGAUUCCUGGGAAGGCCCUCGGGAGGAUUUUGCUGUGAUGGCGGUCCUGCAAGGGAUUCCUAGGGAGGCCCUCGGGAGGAUUUUGCUGUGAUGGCGGUCCUGCAAGGGAUUCCUGCAUUGGAGCUUCCUAUAAACUGUAGCGGGUUUUCUGAAGCUAGUGGAACUUUGUAAAGGCCUCGUAGUGUUACCCUGCCUCGCCUCCUCGGUAGAGGUGUAUGGGAAGUCGCGAUCCCUUGGCAGAUGGGUAACAUGACUUGUGGGUAAAGAUGCGCAACCUCUGCAGAGUGUAAAACUGGUAUACUAGCCGUGCUCACGGUCAUGAGCGGCUCGGACACUCACAUGAUUAAAUUAUGGAACUUAAACUCAAUUUGUCAUAUGCAUUGCAUCGCAGGUGAGGUUGUUACUUCUGUUCUACUACUUAAUUGGGUUGAUAUUUACUUAUACUUAGUAAUUGCUAAUAAAAUUUUGACCAACUUUAAAAGCAAUGCUCAGCUCUAACCAUCCUCUUUGGUAAGCCUUACACUUCACGUGAGCUCCCACCUUUGGCGAGUUCAUGCACAUUAUUCCCCACAACUUGUUGAGCGAUGAACGUAUGUGAGCUCACUCUUGCUGUCUCACACCCCCCCCACAGGUCAAGAACAGGUACCGCAGGAUGAGGCGCAUGGAGGAUAUCGUGGCAAGUUCGUGAGUGGUCUAGGUCGUCGUCUCCCAGUCAACUUUGGGUUGCUGGACCGUUGUCUCCUUAUAAUGUAAUUAUUUACUUAUUUUGUAUAGAACUCCGGUUAUGUAGUAAAGAUGUAACAUUCGAUCCUGUGCCAUGAUUCAUCAUAUGUGUGAGACUUGGUCCCAGCACACCUGGUGAUUAUGUUUACGCCCGAGCUUUGGACCCCUAAAACCCGGGUGUUACAGAAGUGGUAUCAGAGCAAUGUUGACUGUAGGACGAAACCUAGAUAGAACUGGACAACCAAUACUUACUUACCUUUGCUACUCUGAUGCUUUUCUAAACUUUUCUUAAUCUUUUCUCAUCUAUUCCCGCUUUACUCUGAUUAUUCUUACCUUUUCCUUCUAAAGACAAAAGUGGAUUUCACACUUUGAAAUCCUGUGCCUAAAGUGACUUUAGGAAUAGGAGACCUACUCUUAGGAACAAAAUCAAAACUAUUUUUAUAGGUAUAUAUGUGCUUGAAUGUUUGUUCUUAUGAUACAUGUCUGAUUUGGUUCUUUGAUUGAGUGUGAUGAAUUGUGGAGUAAUAUCCACAAUUGUAUCUGCAUAUACAUAUAGGCGUAAAAAAACAAUAUGAUAACUCAACAAAUUAGAUUAUUCCUCAUUAAAAUAUAUCUAGCUUAAUAGAUUCAUCUUACCUUAAAAGGAUUCUAUCUUAUCCUUCCGACUUGUCAUAACCACUUUGCUUACCUCAUCCUAGAGUAACAACCAUGAUCUAGCCUAAAAUAAAUAGAUCUUAUCUAGUUAUACCAAUCUGAUCUAGAUCCCACCUAAUCUAACAUGAGCUAAUCCAAAUUGAGUUACUUAAGUAAGUUAGACAUAAAUUAGGCCCUGAUUCUAUAAACAUAUCUUACCCUAAAUUAAUGCCUUGGACUAACUCGUCCGUAAACAACAACCUAACCUACAUCAUAGGUUGCCUAAUCCAGAUAUCCUAAAAGCAAAGUAAAAAUAUGUUUAAAUCUAACUACCUCAUGUACCCUAGCUAUCCUAGCUAUAUCCAUAUGCCCUCAACUCGGAUGGCAACUCCAGGAGGAAGGCCAAAGAAGACCAACAUCGUCAAGGAAGGAGAAGGAGAUCAACCUCGACAUGGAAGAAUACGAGUCAAAUCAGAUCUCGAGAUAAUUCAAGAUUCACCACCCAAGAUGAAGUCUUUCCUUAUUAUACUCAUCCUUGCCACGACCUAUACUUGCCAUAAACCGUACCUCAUCUGACCUAAUAGAUGGCUAGACAUACAAUAUCCAUGUGUUCCAAAUCGUCUAUUAACCGUUAUGUAAAAACUUGAACAAAACUUUGAUUUCCAAAACCCAAAUGAGAAACUAAAAUUCUAGACCAAACUUAUUGUAUCCCUUUUCUUACAAAUCUCGAGGACGAGAUUAUUUUUAAGGGGGUAGGAUUUGUAACACCCACUAUGUAAUUUGCUACAAAUAAUACCAAUAGAGAAACAAUUUCUCUUUAUGUGAGUUUGAUCUCUAUGCAUCAUCCCAUGUGAACACCAUCUUUAAAACAAUUAAGAAAAAUAUAUACUACUAAAUUAUACAUCAUGCUGGGAUUUUGUUGUGAGUGCAUUAUUUGUGACAAUAUAAAAAUAACAUUAAAAAUAUAUAUGUUAAAGUCCAAAGUGGAAUUUAAAAGGAAAAUUCAAGAAUCUAGAGAAAAGAAAAGAAAAAUAAAAAAAAGAAGAAAGAGAGCUAACGCUGGGUUCAGAUUGUGCAUUUGGCCCACUAACUCCAUCCCUCACGCGGCCCAUCUGAGGGGAUCGGCGCCGACAGUGGGGCCCCACUGGUCAUCCACUGGCAACCGUGCACCAGGCGCAUACUCGUUUUCCUCCUCGCUGACGGCUGGGGCCCUCGCGUCAUCACCUAACUCCCGCGAUCUCCGGUGCCUCGCCGGGUGGAUCGGAUCGGUGCGCGCUCCAGCCCUGGUCGUUGCUCCCUACCGAAGUCCUCGCGUCCCUCGGUGUAUAAAGCUAGAGCCCCGUUUCUUCUCCUUCCCGCACCUAUCCUCCCUACGCGGACCCGAGCAAAGAAGCACCUCACCAUCGCCGCACACCAUUAGCUGGGGUGGAGAAGGUUCGCCGUCGCCGCUUGAUUCGCACGGACGCUGCGCGAUUGGUUCUGCACCUGGGCGGGGAACUUCGCCGCGCCUCCACGGUGUUGUCGGUUACCUUCGCAGAGGGAGAUAACCACUUGGUGGCCGACGAUUCUUCACCGUACUCGCUGCUCCGCCGUGGACCCGCCAUCCUCCGUGGCCAGCGUCUCCUGCAACUCCCAAUCCCUGGUAAGACCUCCGAUCGGAUUCAGUGUCGUCCCAGUGUCGUGUAGAGUCGUUCGGAGGAGGGCCUUAGGCUUUCGCGCGCUUGACUGGUGCCACGGUAAUGUCGCCGCCGUCGGGGUUCCGUUCGCCGCCGGCGUUAACUCUGUUUUGGGCGCGGGAUAGACCAGAGGCAGUGGUAACCGUCGAUCGAAUCAGGGACGGCUCUGAUUAGAAAUCGCGUACCGGUUCGUUCUAAUUGCACGGCGACCGUCCGAUCGGGAUCAGGUGGUGAUUACUCGCACUAGGACUCGUUAAAUCAGGGCCGCCGAUGGGGGGAUCCAACGUCUGGGAUCGCAUACCGCCCUGCGGGCAGUCAAUUCUAAUCUGGACCGUCGGUUUGUAAUCGGACGACUGUGAGAACCCCGUACCCCUUCGGCCUUGGCGUUUUACUUAUGAGCCCUCGGGCUUCCAGGGUAUCAACCCGCCGUCCAGAGCAACAGUGCUCUGAGUCUCAGGAUUAGUUGUAGAAUAGCCCCUGGGUUUAUCUGGAUUUGAGGCCCAGUCCAGUGCCAUGAUAAACUGAAUAAAUAAAUUGGAAAAUAGGUUUUUAAUAUAAAAAUAAUUACUAGAACUUUAUAAAUUCAUAGAAAAUUCAUACUAACUCCUUUUUACUCCAUUCCAGUUCCUAAAAUUUUAUAAUUUUAUUCUCUAUCACUUAGAGCCUCUGUUUUGUCAUGAAAACAGUAAUAAAUUUAAUUCCUUACUUAGUCCCAUUCUAAACACAUAAAACAUUUGAAAAUGCAUAACUUAAAAUAUAUAAGUCCAAAAAUUAUGAUUUCUGUUCCUAGAAUUUUAUUUUAAUGUGUAGAUUAUUACUGUGUAUUUUGCAUAUAUGUUUGGUGUAAUGUUAAUUUUGCCUAUACAAUGUUUGUCUGUAUUGCUACGACUAGCAGUGAGGUCACGAGAAUCUGAAGAUCAUCCUGGUACCUGGAAUCUCAAGACCCAGGCAAGUUGUGCCCUUGAUCACUUCUUUUUACC
rnacentral:lncRNA from 1 species